AUUGAACGCUGGCGGCAGGCCUAACACAUGCAAGUCGAACGAGUGGCGGACGGGGGAGUAAUGUCUGGGAAACUGCCCGAGGGAGGGGGAUAACUACAGGAAAAGGUAGCUAAUACCGCAUACCACAGGAUGUGCCCAUAUGGGAUUAGCUAGUAGGUGGGGUAACGGCUCACCUGGGCGACGAUCCCUAGCUGGUCUGAGAGGAUGACCAGCCACACUGGAACUGAGACACGGUCCAGACUCCUACGGGAGGCAGCAGUGGGGAAUAUUGCACAAUGGGCGCAAGCCUGAUGCAGCCAUGCCGCGUGUAUGAAGAAGGCCUUCGGGUUGUAAAGUACUUUCAGCGAGGAGGCGUUACUCGCAGAAGAAGCACCGGCUAACUCCGUGCCAGCAGCCGCGGUAAUUC
rnacentral:rRNA from 1 species